AUUGAACGCUGGCGGCACGCCUAACACAUGCAAGUCGAACGAGUGGCGGACGGGUGAGUAAUGUCUGGGAAACCGCCUGUUGGAGGGGGAUAACUACUGGACACGGUAGCUAAUACCGAAUACCAUCGGCUGUGCCCAGAUAGGAUUAGCUAGUAGGUGGGGUAACGGCUAACCUAGGCGACGAUCCCUAUCUGGUCUGAGAGGAUGACGAGCCAACCUGAAUGUGAGACACGGUCCAGAUGCCUACGGGAGGCAGCAGCGGAGAGUAUUGCACGGUGUGCGCAAGCCUGAUGCUGCAAUGCCGAGUGUAUGAGGAAGGCCUUCGGGUUGUAAGGUACUUUCAGCGGGAAGGCGUUACCCGCAGGAGAAGCACCGGCUAACUCCGUGCCAGCAGCCGCGGUAAUAC
rnacentral:rRNA from 1 species